rnacentral:SRP_RNA from 1 species
GCCAGGUACAGUGGCAUGCGCCUCUAGUCCCAACUACUCGGCAGGCUGAGGCAGGAGGAUCACUUGAGCCCAGGAGUUUUGGGCUGUAGGGUGCUAUGCCGAACAGGUGUCUGCAGUAAGUUUGGCAUCAAUAUGGUGACCUCCCGGGAACGGGGGACCACCAGGUUGCCUAAGGAGGGGUGAACCGCCUCAGGUCGGAAACGGAACAGGUCAAAACUCCUGUGCUGAUCAGUAGUAGGAUCGCGCCUAUGAAUAGUCAACUGCACUCCCGGCCUGGGCAACAUAGCGAGAUCCUGUCCCUA